rnacentral:rRNA from 1 species
UGGCUAACUCCUACGGGAGGCAGCAGUGGGGAAUAUUGGACAAUGGGCGAAAGCCUGAUCCAGCCAUGCCGCGUGUGUGAAGAAGGUCUUCGGAUUGUAAAGCACUUUAAGUUGGGAGGAAGGGCAUUAACCUAAUACGUUAGUGUCUUGACGUUACCGAAAGAAUAAGCACCGGCUAACUCUGUACCAGCAGCCGCGGUAAUACAGAGGGUGCAAGCGUUAAUCGGAAUUACUGGGCGUAAAGCGCGCGUAGGUGGUUUGUUAAGUUGAGGGUGAAAUCCCCGGGCUCAACCUGGAAACUGCAUCCAAAACUGGCAAGCUAGAGUAUGGUAGAGGGUAGUGGAAUUUCCUGUGUAGCGGUGAAAUGCGUAGAUAUAGGAAGGAACACCAGUGGCGAAGGCGACUACCUGGACUGAUACUGACACUGAGGUGCGAAAGCGUGGGGAGCAAACGGGAUUAGAUACCCCUGUAGUCCAGCUGG